AUGAUCAGGUAUAUCUCUUCUAGUUUCUCAAAUUUGUGUGGUUGCUAGCUAUAAUUAUAAUUAAAGAGACAUGAAGCUCUUCUUUGGAGCCCACAAAAUUUUCCUCCUUGUGCUUAUUUUCAUGGCACUCAUGAUUCUUGGUAAAGGCCUCCAACCUCAACAUUGUAAGUGCAACAUCAUUUAAUCAGAAAUUUUAUUAUGCAAUAACUUCAAUCUUCAUUUUUAUUGAUAUUUCAGUCACUUUGCGCAAACAAGUUGCACUGAACGGUGAUGAUCAGAGUUACCGAUACCCCAAGGUUUGUUGAUUUCAUUUCCUAGCAAUGAAAUUAGUUAAUGUAAUGUGCUUAGUUAAUGAGAUGAGAGAUAUGGUGAUGAGGGUUUCUGUUGUGUGUGUGCAUUUUAUAGCUAGGAGCAAGAGAAAAGCUAGGGAUGGAACUGUAUCCAACCGGGUCAAGCUUGCCGGACUGUUCUCAUGCCUGUGGACCUUGCUUUCCCUGCAAGAGGGUGAUGGUGAGCUUCAAGUGCUCCAUUGGAGAGUCUUGCCCUAUUGUUUACAGAUGCAUGUGUAAAGGGAAAUAUUACCAUGUCCCUUCAGCGUGACACAAAUUGCUUAAUGGUUAUUCCAUCUAUGAAGGGUAUUUUAGAACUAGUUUAGGCAUGGAUUAAUUAAGCAAUGUACUAUUAGCUUCCAUUAAUUAUAUGCCAUAAAAGUUAUUUAUGUGCAUAUGGAAAAAAGGAUUGAAAAAUUAUAAAAGGAAGUUUGUGUAUAGUAGAAUGAGUUUUUGCUAAUUAAUUGAAUAUUUGCAUUUUCAUAAAG
rnacentral:misc_RNA from 1 species